GUCUUUUUGGUAUUUAAUAUAAAGUCUAGCCUGCCCACUGAAAAUAUUUUAAAGGGCCGCAGUAUUUUGACUGUGCAAAGGUAGCAUAAUCAUUAGUCUUUUAAUUGAAGGCUGGUAUGAAUGGUUGAAUAAGAUACAAGCUGUGUCAUAAAAAUUAAUAAUUGAAUUUAACUUUUUAGUCAAAAGGCUAAAAUUUACUUAAAAGACGAGAAGACCCUAUAGAGCUUUAUAUAUUAAUUAUUUAGAUUAUUAAGAUUUUUAAAAUUUAAUUUUUGGGAUAUAUUUUGUUGGGGUGACAAUAAAAUUUAUAAAACUUUUAUUUUUAUUAAACAUUAAUUUAUGGUUAAAUGAUCCAGUUUUAUUGAUUAUAAAUUUAAGUUACCUUAGGGAUAACAGCGUAAUUUUUUUUGAGAGUUCUUAUCGACAAAAAAGAUUGCGACCUCGAUGUUGGAUUAAGAGUAAUUUUGGGUGCAGAAGUUCAAAGUUUAAGUCUGUUCGACUUUUAAAUUCUUACAU
rnacentral:rRNA from 1 species